rnacentral:rRNA from 1 species
AUGGCCCGCUACGACCGCGCGAUCACCGUCUUCUCCCCCGACGGCCACCUCUUCCAGGUCGAGUACGCCCUCGAGGCCGUCCGCAAGGGCAACGCUGCCGUCGGCGUCCGCGGCACCGACACCGUCGUCCUCGGCGUCGAGAAGAAGUCCACCCCCAAGCUCCAGGACUCCAGGUCCGUGCGGAAGAUCGCGAGCCUGGACACGCACGUCGCGCUGGCGUGCGCGGGGCUCAAGGCGGACGCGCGGGUGCUCAUCAACCGCGCCCGCGUCGAGUGCCAGAGCCACCGCCUCACCGUCGAGGACCCCGUCACCGUCGAGUACAUCACUCGCUACAUCGCCGGCCUGCAGCAGAAGUACACCCAGAGCGGUGGAGUCCGCCCCUUCGGCCUAUCCACCCUCAUCGUCGGCUUCGAUCCGUACACGGACAAGCCCGCCCUGUACCAGACCGACCCCUCCGGCACCUUCUCCGCCUGGAAGGCCAACGCCACGGGGAGGAACUCCAACUCCAUGCGGGAGUUCCUGGAGAAGAACUACAAGGACACCUCCGGCAAGGAGACCAUCAAGCUCACCAUCCGCGCUCUGCUAGAGGUUGUCGAGAGUGGUGGGAAGAACAUAGAGAUUGCAGUGAUGACAAAGAAGGAUGGCCUUCGGCAACUCGAGGAGACUGAAAUCGAUGAAUAUGUUGCCGAGAUCGAGGCAGAGAAGGCCGCGGCAGAGGCGGCAAAGAAGAGUGGCCCGAAGGAUACCUAA